rnacentral:misc_RNA from 1 species
GAUGAAGAACGUAGCGAAAUGCGAUAAGUAAUGCGAAUUGCAGAAUUCCGUGAGUCAUCGAAUCUUUGAACGCACAUUGCGCCCUCUGGUAUUCCGGAGGGCAUGCCUGUCUGAGCGUCAUUGUCAACCCUCAAGCUCAGCUUGCUGUUGGGUCCCCGUCGUUGCUUUAACGGCGGACCCGAAAGGUAAUGGCAGAGUCCGUGAGACCCUAGACGCAGCGAGCUUCUAGCACGCGUCUGGACGUUUUUCGGGCUCGGUCUUAACUAGAUGAUAACUUCCGAUUGACCUCAGAUCAGGUAGGGAUACCCGCUGAACUUAAGCAUAUCAAUAAGAGGAGGA